UACGGAGGGUGCAAGCGUUGUCCGGAAUCACUGGGCGUAAAGGGCGCGUAGGCGGCUCAUGAAGGCUGUGGUGAAAGUCCGGGGCUCAACCUCGGAUCGGCCGUGGCGACUCGUGGGCUGGAGCACUGUAGAGGCGGGUGGAAUUCCGGGUGUAGCGGUGGAAUGCGUAGAGAUCCGGAAGAACACCGGUGGCGAAGGCGGUCUGCUGGGCCAAGACUGACGCUGAGGCGCGACAGCGUGGGGAGCAAACAGG
rnacentral:rRNA from 1 species